CCUACGGGAGGCAGCAGUGGGGAAUAUUGCACAAUGGGCGCAAGCCUGAUGCAGCAACGCCGCGUGAGGGAUGACGGCCUUCGGGUUGUAAACCUCUUUUAGCAGGGAAGAAGCGAAAGUGACGGUACCUGCAGAAAAAGCGCCGGCUAACUACGUGCCAGCAGCCGCGGUAAUACGUAGGGCGCAAGCGUUAUCCGGAAUUAUUGGGCGUAAAGAGCUCGUAGGCGGUUUGUCGCGUCUGCUGUGAAAUCCCGAGGCUCGACCUCGGGCCUGCAGUGGGUACGGGCAGACUAGAGUGCGGUAGGGGAGACUGGAAUUCCUGGCGUAGCGUGGAAUGCGCAGAUAUCAGGAGGAACACCGAUGGCGAAGGCAGAUCUCUGGGCCGUAACUGACGCUGAGGAGCGAAAGGUGGGGAGCAAACAGGCUUAGAUACCCUGGUAGUCCACCCCGUAAACGUUGGGAACUAGUUGUGGGGUCCAUUCCACGGAUUCGUGACGCAGCUAACGCAUU
rnacentral:rRNA from 1 species